rnacentral:lncRNA from 1 species
UGAUCUAUACACUAAAACUGCUUUAUUUAGCUAAAGUAAUUUAGGUGACUAUAGUGUUCCUUUAAGAGUGAAGGUCCCCUGCUCUGUAACACUUUGAAAAAGCCUUCUGUAUAGGUGAAACUCGUUAGUGUGUUACUUUUUAUUUGUUUAAUAAAAUUAAUCUGCAUUGUACCCCUGGACCUUCAUUGGACAUCUUUUAUUGGAGAAGCUGUAUCUCACAUUCCCGGGUGCGGGACAAACCACCUAUGCUGAUAAGGACUGAGCAAUCCCUAUUUGCUCAUCCAUUGUGAGUAUAUUUCUCUCUUUAUUUUAUUUGUUUUAUUAAUACAGAGAACACUAUUCCUGUUUUUUUAUAUCCUAUAUAUAUCACUGGAGCAUCAUCUGGAAUACACCACGUGGAUUAUUGGCACAGGGAUACGAUGCCAAAGGAAAUCAGGACCAUCCUAACAUCCACAGACGGGGAUUGUACCGUCCAUACGCUGUGAUCUGGAGCUGAUCUUGAUCUCCAGAAAAGUGUGAGUGCAAUAUAUUUUUUCCUUAUAUUCUGCCUCUGCUGUUAUAGACAUACUACACUAUAUUAGUAUUCCUGUCCCAUUUUUCUCCCUUAUAUUGGCUCCAUUGGACUCCACACAAGGACUUUAAUUGUUAAGCGCUGCUUCCCUACAUCCCCCGUUUGGCUUGACGAGUGAGUCCGGGGUGAGAGCCAGGAAAGAGCCAGGGCAGGGUAUCCCCAUGCUGUGAGGCAGCCAUCGCGUUCUGACUGCCUCGGGUCAUGGGGUGCCCACCUCUCUGUUGUCACUGUUGAGGGGGAGGCCGCUGUGGUAUCUCCACUAUGACGCCAUCAGCCAGCAUCUGCCACCAGAAUGCUGCACAGAGCUGAUCCAAAUGUGCUGGCAGCCUGCCGCAGUGGUGUGAGGGAUCAGCGUGGUUUGCAGGAACCGUCUUAGUGCAGGCAGCUGCCAUUUUAGGUAAGUUGAGUUGCUUUUUUCUCUUGCUUGUGCCCUUCCACCUGGGCGUGUGUUGUUCCAGGUUUGUAGUAGUGCCGUGGUGGACCGGGAUGACCCCCGCCAGUCCAAGGUGGGGGGGGGUAGGACCUACGAUGCCCUGCAGCACUUCGAAGCUCUUGGUGGAGCAGAGGCCUGGACAACCCCAGCCAGAAUAGGAUCUUCAGAAUACACUGUGUCCCGGCGUCCUCCAAUAAUGGAAUCCUGGAAGACAUCCUGACAAGGGCGUCCGUGGGGGGGAGGGGGGGUAAGGGGGGGCACUUGCCCUCCUGGAUUUUUUAAAUUACAGUGCAAUACAGGCGAGUAGGUGGCGCUGUGUAUGGAGAGAGUCAGGGAUAGGAAGCUACAUCUUAUCCCAGCUUAUAGAUCAAGGAAGUGAGGCAUGCGGGGGGGGGAGAGCCUAUAGGUGAGGGAAGUGAGGCAUGGUGGUCAGCCUAUAGAUCAGAAAGUGAGGCAUGGGGGGCAGCCUAUUGAUCAGAAAGUGAGUCAUGGGGGGGCAGCCUAUAGAUCAGGGAAGUGAGGCAUAGGGGGGCAGUCUAUAGAUCAAGGAAGUGAGGCAUAGGGGGGCAGCCUAUAGAUCAGGGAAGUGAGGCAUAGGGGGGACAGAAAUGAGCAGGAAGGGUCAGCAAGGAGAAGGAAGGGUCAGCAAGGAGCAGGAAGGGACAGAAGGAGCACAAAGGUAAAGUAGGAGAAGGAGCAGAAAUUAGCAGGAAAGGUCUGCAAGGAGCAGAAAGGGUCUGCAAAGAGAAGGAAGGGUCUGCAAAGAGCAGAAAGGGACAGAAGGAGCACAAAGGUAAAGAAGCAUAAAGAAUCCUAAGGAGCACAAAGGUAAAGUAGGAGAAGGAGCUGAAAAGGAUAGCAAGGAGCAGAAAGGGAUCAGAAAGAAAAAGGAGCAGAAAGGGGAGCAAAAUAAGCAGAAAGGUAAAGGAGCAGAAGGAGCCAAGGAGGAGAAAAGACUGUGUCAAAUGAAGAAGAAGAAAAUGAGAUUGAAGCAGGAAGAACAACUGAAGUGAACCCUCCACUUUAUUCUGGACACCACAUCAUAAGGCUUUGGUACCUGGGCCUGGCAGGGAAACUUGGGACCUUCUCAUCUCCCCAGGUAAAAAUAAAUAUCAGUGUUAAUGUGUUCACUUUUAUUUACUGGGUGUCAGGAAGCACAGAGUAGGGGUGUCGCUGAUUGGCUCGAGCGGUCAGCUGGCACUCUAAGCCAAUCAGUAUCUCCCCAUGCAUAAAAAAGUAAAACAUUUUUAUGAACCGCGAACUAGCGAUUGGCUUAGAGCGUCAAUUGACCACUCUAGCCAAUCUGCAGCACCUAUGCCUGACGUCAGUCUGCACUUCCUGUCACUCCGUUUCAGAAGCCGAAUACCACUGAGCGACCUGGAGCUGGAGGAAGCCUUUGUGGUUAAACCAUUUGAGAGCGGUUUAACCCCUUAAAGGAAAGAGAGCACCCAGGGGCUUCCUGGCAUCAUAGCAUUUUCAUUUAGAUGAAGUUGUUAUGGUGACCAGAAUGUUCCUUUAAUUUGCUUAAAGGAACACUAUAGUGUCAGGAAUACAAACAUGUAUUCCUGACACCAUAGUUGUGAAAAUGCUAUUAAUCCUGGCUUUAUGUGAUAAUGAUUAUGCCCCUUCCCUUUCAUGGCACUGUCAAAAGCUGAUUGUUUGGUAGAAUCACUCCAGUUAUUAUGAGAGUGAAACUACCGAACAGUCAGACCACCCCAGUAGUAAAUGUGCCUCCAAUUACCGUUUGCAACAAUGUUGCGAACGGGUAAUUGGCAAUUCGUGUAGUGGAUUCUUUGUUCUCUGGGUGGCUGCCAUUCGGGAGACGAACACGUAGCGGCGGUCAUGUUAAACUCCUGAACAGCGGUGUUUUGCCGUUGAGUGUCUGGAACUCAAAUCGGACACUCGGCUAGGCAAACACCGCUGAGACCUCCACACUGCCCUUAAAUUUGUAUAGAAACUACCGAACGGCCACCCGUUCGGUAGAAAGAAACACCCGAACAAGGGGAUUUCUGCAAACUCUCCCUAGUCUCCAUAGCACAAGUCUUUUGUGCAGUUUAUUCCCUUUUUCGGUGACCGACCUCAGGGCCAAACGCAUGGAACCAAUUUCGUCUGUUCCCUCCAGCGCGGUCAGUCUUUUUAUUACUUCCUCAAAUCUCCCGAACCCCUGGUCCGAUCUGGGUGAUUUUUGGAUAUGUCACUCACCCAGAUCAGGGCUACCAGGGGAUGUAAUAUUUAAAGGGGUACCCCUAUGUUUAGGGGUACAUCCAGAAACCCAGGGAAUUUGUGUCCUGCAUAAUGGGAUUAUGAGUCAGGCUAAGGGGAGGAGAUGUGUGGGCGGCUACUCAUGUAUGAUUGGAUACUGUACUAAUGAUUGUAAAUCCCUCCCUUGCAUGGGAGAAUGCUUUAAAAGAAGGUUGAGUGGGCGGAGUCAAGCUGCAGAGCAGAGAAGCCGCAUGGUACAGCAGCUCCUGCAAUUUAUCUCUAAAAACGGCUAAUCUUUCUGAAAAAAAAUAACCAAAACCGCUGAAAACCCCAGGCUACAGCAGGGGAACCGACAUGGGACGAAAAAGUAAGAAACAAAAGCCCGACCAGCCGAGACAUGGCCUAGACAUCGGAGCUAUGUGGAGACAGGCACAGGGAGCAACUGGGCCCAAGAUGGCCGACUACCCAGAAACUUAUUCGGACCUGUCUGAUGACUUCUCCCAGGGGGAGGACACACACAUACCCCUCGGCCUACCGGUGACAACACCCAAGCCCCAGGACCCCGACAAUGCACCUGUUACUACAGCGGUGCUUAAGACGCUUCUGGCGGGCCUACAGACCACGAUCCAGGCAGAAAUGGCGGGCCUCCGAGCGGACCUCCAGGGCAUAACCGGGAGACUGAGCACCCUGGAACAGACGUCCACUACCGCUACGACCCAAAUUGCCUCCAUGUAACAGGAGAUAAGGGGCCUGCAAAGCAAAACAGAGGCCUUUGAGCGGCGAUUCGCCGCACUGGAGGACACACGCCGAACCGCCAACAUAAAGAUACGGGGCAUACCUGAUAACAUGCCGGCGGAGGAACUACCGCACUUCGUGCGAAGACUUCUUUCGGCGCUACUACCAUCACGUCAAGCAAAAGCAGUAAGUCUGGACGGAGUUUACAGGGUACCUAAAUCAGCCAAAGCCCCAAAAACAGCUACCAGAGAUACCAUAAUCCGCUUCCAGCGCAGGGAUGACAGAGCAGCAACUAUGGCGGCGGCAAGGAAUCACGCCCAGUACACCUUUGAAUCAAUAUCCCUUACCUUCUUUACAGACUUAACCGGUAGCACUCUGGCCUGGAGGAGGUCGCUCCGGCCGUUCACUACGCUUCUUCAACAGAAAGGCAUAACAUAUAGGUGGCGCCUCAACCGCACCCUGCUAGUACACCAGGGCGAGAACACACACGAAGUAUACGACCUGCAGGGUGCGCAAGACCUACUAGCCACGUUGGAACUGCCUCAAGAUGAAAUGCGCCCCACGGCACACACCGGGACCACCACACCAAAGCACAGGUGGGAUCCUGAUAGGGUGCACACCUUUGUACCUCUACGGCCCAGACAUGGAAUCCCUGUUGACAACCCAGCAUGAAGGACUCGGGGACACGAAAACCAUGCUAAAACUCUGCCCGGGACAGUUGGACCUAAUUCUAACAGAGUUAAUAUUUUUGUUUUUAUUUUUAUUUUUUAGACUCCUCAGUUAUGGUGGUCGUUCUGUUUAAUUUGCUUAUAUGGCAAGCUUUGCCUGUUAUCAUCCAUGUCUGAACUCUUCCCCCAGCAGGACACAAAUAAUGAUGCCAGCCAUCUACACACAUUACACAUAGACCUAUGCCACCCAUCAGAUUAAUUAACUUCCGUUCCCCCCCCCCGCCCGCCCUCAUCAGAUAUAAAACGACACAAACCUAUUAACGGCGGACAGGGCUAUCUUACACCCUGCAACCGAACACCCCCAACCUCACAACCAUAUUCACAGCAACAGCGGGGGAAAAAAUAUUAUAUUAUAUUAUAACCAUACUACUGAACCUAGCCCUCCCAACCCCUGCAACAGCUCACUAAAAACACAGUGGGGCUCACUUAGGGGCACAUGCACUAGAAGCGCAAACUAAUCUCUCACACAUCAGGUAUCAACCGGUUGUUGUGAAGCUGAUGUCUCAAGCACAUUUUUAGUACACAUUAGGCACUACACCGAAGUCAUAUUUACCCUGCUUUACCAUGUGUACUUAUUUUCUUUAAUCACUCUACGCAUUACUUGCUUGUUAUACAUUUCAAAUGUAAAAUGUGCAACCUCUUAACUAUGCCAAUGAUUGUCAUGGAAUUGCUCGCAGUCGCUAUCGUGGCGUUGCAAGCGUGUUUUGUAACCACAUGCACAAGUAAAAUAAAGAAUUAAAAAUAAAAAAUUAAAAUUUGCACAAAAAAAAAGAAGGUUGAGUGGGGGCAGAGCUUGAACACAGAGCUGAGCAGCCGCAUGCUGAGCGAGCUCCUGCAAAAAACAUCAAUUUUCGGGGUAAUACCCCCAUUUCCAGCCUGAAUCCGGGUUUCUAUACCCAUAAGCCUACUUGGGGACAAGUUGCUGAUCACACUGACCCCACUCUCGAGCCUCUGAGACGCAGUGAGCCUGCGGAGACGAGUUGCGGCCUGCAAGUGACCGGGUGGGGGGAAAGGCGGCCGAUUUCCCCGCUCUCCUGAUUGCUGAAAGGAACUGCUUCAGUCCAUCCCCUCCCCCCCUUUGGACCAGCGGGGGUUAUCCCGGUCCCCCCCUGGACUUCUGCAGACAAAACCUGUGGUCAGAAAGGGACACUUACCUGCACACGGCGGGAACCCUCAAAAUGGCGGACACUCAUCCUCCAGCAAAGCCAACUCCACUACCAACAAGUAAUAGCCUCAGUGUUUCUGUAGAGCGCUCCCUGGCAAGAUUGGAGGCAAUAUUCACCAACUUCUGGGCUAAACUGGAGGCACGAGCAGCAGCUUCAGUUUCUCAACAGGGGACUGCAGAUCAACAAGCCGAGCCAUGUGGAGUAAGCGGGCCCCCUCCGGACACCGAGGGUAAGCAAGCACCUGCUCCUCUAGCCUUAUACUCACCAGAGCCCAACAACAACCAGGGCCCCACACCGCCACACCAGCGCCCGCCCACUGCUAUUCGCAGUGAGACCCAUCGCUGUAACCCAUCUGAAAAAGAUACAGGUGCUCCGAGCCAUUGGGCGCGUGAAAUGAAGGCACUGGACGCCACAUGGGCCCAGCUCUGGGUGGACACCCUCUCACAAAGCCGCCCCAGCGCUCCCACCAGUACAAUCUCUGCCUGCCUCGUAGGCCACCCAGCAAGGGGAAUUGGAUGAAACAUGGAAUGAUAGAACAGAGCAGGCUGUCCACGACGAGAGAGCCACGAGGCCUGAGACACUGUGAUAUCUUGUGUUGAAUACACUAACCGGGUGUACACUAGUCCUGCCAUGUCUAUUUCUCUUUUACUUUUACUUUUAAUUUGCUUCUAUUACACCCCUCGUCACAAGCCAUACAGGUCUCAAAGACUGUGAUUGCAGCUCCAAUGGGAAUUUAACCAUAUUCAUAUACUGUAUAAGCAUGAUUAAUACUCUUACGUAAAGCUAUUUGACUAAGCUAUGUUACACAUACUUUAUAAUGCAUGUUCCGCAUAAGCUUGAACAUAACUACUUAAUCUAAAAAGCGCACAAUAGAAAUAACAACUUGCAGCAGCAUUUAAUGCCUAGCUAAUAUAACACUAUGUUAGAAUGAAUGCUCAUCCAGGCUGUAUUAGCACUGUACGCCAGAUUAGCAACGUCUCAAUCCCUAGACUUAAUCAUAUGUAACUUAAUGUUGAAUGGUUCGAUUUAAUCUUAUACCACACAUUUACUGACAAGCGGAACUGGUGAAACCACCAGACACACGACAAUAAUAUAUAUAAAACUGUGCAGGGGGGCAUGGCCUAGCAGCCGAUGGAGAUGGCAGCUUAACAAGGGAGCUCCCGCGCAUCCACGUUUAAUCAAGCACUAGCAAUUCGCAUCGCAACCGCAAAACGGUACCUACAUGCCCCACAAGGGUCCUAGUGCCACCCCACGCAGGAAAAAACGAGGGGAACCGAUCGAUUCCUCCCCUACAGUGGCAGACAUGUUCGCAGCCUCCAAAGCCACACAGGCCGCACAAGAUGGCCGCCGGAUGGGCACACGAGGCUCCCAAUCCCCACCUGCAGACACAGACAGGGGACCGCCCGGACAGACUGGCGACACCACCGCGCAAAUCCUCCAGCAAUUAGCAGAGGUAAGAACGUUUCUGGCGGGAGAGAUCACACGCAGUGCCCUAGACAUUAAGGCAGAGAUCCAGGCCCUGGGCGCCCGCACAGCGGAACUCGAACAGCACAUGGAAACACUAGUACAAGGCCACAAUGCAGUGAUACAAUACUCCACAUCCCUAAAUCAGCACCUCAGUGAAUUAGAAAUGCAAGUGGAGGACCUCUCCAACUGCACCAGGCGGAACAACCUCCGAGUCAGGGGAUGGCCAGAAGCAAUCAUGGAGGCAUACUUCAGCAACAUACUACCAGACAUACCCAAGGCCCAGUGGGCGAUGGACCUGGCACACAGGGCUCUGCGUGCCCGGCGCCCGAACACAGAUGCGCCACGAGACAUAAUAAUAUGCUUCCACUAUUUUACGACUAAGGAGGCCCUACUGAGACACAAUAGACACCAUGAAUUCACCUACAAGGGCAAAACCAUAUCCCUAUUCCAGGAUUUGGCCCCGAGCACAUUGCAAAGAAGGAGGGAGUGGAGGCCAUUGACAGAUAUACUACGGCAAAAUGAAACCCGCUUCACCUGGGGCCACCCUUUUAAAAUUGUAGCCUUCAAAGCUGGAAAGACAAUCGCCUACUCACCGGGUGGAGACCCGAGAAAAUUCCUUCGGGACCUGGCCAUCACACCGCCGCGAGACUUCGCUCUACCGGGACCGGCUCGACCGGCUCUCACACCCCUCCCAAGGGACUGGUACACAGUCACAGCACAGGCGGAUAGAGAGAACUGAAACCUGAAACUGGACUGAAUGGCCACAAGGCUCAAGGCCGCAAACUCCACACACUGGAUAGAUGAGUUCGUCCAGAGGAUGACCCCACGACACAUCACACCAUCUUCUAGUUUGCUUUUAUUGAACUUUUUUUUUUUUUGGCACUAAAAUCGUGGGCUGGGCCCUGAGGGACCCAACGCACAGAGACCGCUACCACUUACGUAGACACAUGCUAUGCCAAACCGUACUCUGAUCCGCUUUUAAUGGCUCAGCCUUUGCUUUUUAUAUGCCUUUAACAUGCUAUGUAUCUAACAUAGGAGAUGUCAGGGGCCUGGUAUUGGGGGGAGGAGGGGGGGUAGUGCUGGAUGACACACUACAAAAUACACAAAGGGAAGGGGAAAGGGAAGGAGAAAGGGGGGGGGGGGGAAAGGGGAAAAGGGGAAAUUCGACAACAUGCUGCCAAAGCCGCGAGAUAGACCCUGGGGGACUAAAACACACGGUGACCGCACACAUUGAGGGAGACGCACCAUGGUAUGCCAAACCAUACUCUAAUCCGCAAUCAUUCGUUUUAUCUUUGCUCGACUAUGCAACCAACACUGGAUAUGUCAGUGAGUGAUUAUGGGGGGGGUAGGGGGGAAGGGCAGGCUGACCUACUGAAAUACACAUAAAAACCUAGACAACACGGUACCAGAGAUGCCAAGGGGCCAAACGCACGGAGACCGCAAACACUGAGGGAGACUCAUAGAUCGUAAUAUUACGCAGAUAAUGCACAUAUGACACAGGACAGGCCCACAUGCUCGGGGCGAAGUAAAGGAGUUGGACCAGCUGCGAAUCGGGGGGGGGGGGAGGGCGACACCCCCACAAACGCACACACCACACACCAUACCUCCUUCGGGAAAGAUACCCAGGACGUUAACACCAAAGACAAGACAGCACCCACGUACAAUAGACGAGGGACCUUGGCUCAGACCCACCACACCCGCUGGCAGCACGGUGGAGGCCAUACGUAACUCCCCCUCAUUCCACAGACACAUACAUGACUCGGAUAAACAGGGGACCACACCAUAGCGACCACCCAGUAACACAUGAAGCAAUAGAAACCCAGUGUAGACAAUACAGCGGGUACUACAACUCUCGGUACCAGCGAAAGACCCUAGACCAAGGGUCAUGGCACAAAGCCGGUUGCCAACCACACCACAGUGGACAGGCGCGGGGCACUCACCAACUCCGAGAGGUGACAUUCCACACCCCACUCUAAUCUGGCACAGGUUAAGACCAGAUGGUUAUCAACUGUUUAUUUUCCAUGUAUAUAUGAAUGUUUAUUGUUAAUGUUUUCUGAUACUCAACUUUUCUUUCUUUCUCUCACACUAUCUUUUAAGACAAGUACUAAUCUUCAAUCCAACUUCCCUGCCUGGAUGCUGCCCGCGCCGCCGGGGAAGGGUCCCACAACCGAUCACACACACACUGCCAUCCGCGGUUCCCGGAAGAUGGGGGACCAUGCCACACUCAUUGCACCGAUUGCGACUCCACAUGGCUGUUAAGGUACUAUCUUUCAACGUCAAGGGCCUCAACUUGCCCAACAAACGUAGAUUACUGGUAAGAGACCGAAAGACCAAGCAAGUAGACAUUGCACUAAUACAGGAGACACACCUCCCCAGGUCGGCAACCACCAAACUAAUGGACAGAACCUACACGACAGUUUACGAGGCAUGCUCACAACGUAAACGAGCAGGGGUGGCGAUACUCCUGCGCAGGAGUUGUCCACUACACGUUACGACCAUUCAAACCGACCCGGAGUGGAGAUUUGUAUACAUAGGGGGCACCCUCUACACCACCAAAGUGCAUAUCAUUAAUGUGUAUGCCCCCAACGAACCAGACCAACAGUUCUGGACGAACCUGGAGAUGUUGGUGGCUGGGGCGGGGGGGGAGUCCUUCUUGUUGGGGGUGACUUCAAUGCAGUGCCGAGUCCAGCAGCUGACAGAAGCUCAAAACCAGGCACAGUGCGAUCGCAGGGCAGAGGGAGCCAAGACAAGCAACAACACGCAUUCCUGACACACACAGCCCUCCUAGACGCCUGGCGGUUACAACACCCAACCACAACUGAUUACACUUUUUACUCGGCACCACACAACAUAUACUCCAGAAUAGAUGGAGCAGGGAUGGCCAAGGUUCUCCACACAGACAUUAACUGCAUCACAUGGUCAGACCACGCAGACAUAACACUCACACUAGGCAACCUAUGCUACAAAUCCAACUGGUCAUGGAGGCUUAACACCUGCCUCUUAAGGGACGACAUAACACAAGCCACAACCCGACAAGCCAUCACGGAAUACUUUGAAAUAAACGCAACUCCCGAAGCUAGCCCUACCGCGAUCUGGGCAGCGCAUAAAGCGGUCCUACGCGGCCACUUUAUAAAACUAGCCACCCAGAAAAAAUGAGCUAAAACAAAACAACUACUCGACCUACAGUUCGCCCUACGUAAAAAAGAGCAACAACACAAAACGAAUCCGACAGACUCGAACCUUAGGGAACUCACUAGCCUCAGACACUCUAUUAGAGAUCUCACCCUGGAGGCGGUAUCACGUUCCAUACUAUGGUCCAAACGACUGUUCUAUGAGAAGGCAAAUAAGACAGACACACUCCUGGCUAGGGUGCUCCGCCCGAGACCGCAAGGCAAAACCAUAACAAAAAUACGCACAACAGACAACACACUGGCGGGGACGCCUGAAACGAUCAACGAAGUGUUCACAUCCUACUUCUCAGAUAUAUACAAUCACUCCCCCCACCUCCGGGCCACCAACGCGACAUAUAUCUCAGACAUACACCAAUUUCUCUCCGAACUCACUAUUCCAAAAGUGACCGGGGCAGAAGCGGUCGCACUACAAGAACCAAUUACACAAGUCGAGGUAGAGGCAGCCAUAGCAUCCCUGAAAGGCACCAGGACCAGAUGGAUAUGACAUUAGUUAUUAGAAACAAUUUAAAGAUAUAUUAGCCCCCCCACUAACGACCCUUAGUAAUCACUUUCUGCAGGGCGGGACACCUGAUAGCGACAUGGCAACGGCAAAUGUUGUCCUCCUGCCAAAACCAGGGAAAGACGACACAUUGGCCUCGAGCUACAGGCCAAUCUCACUUAUCAACACUGACCUCAAAAUAUUUGCUAAAAUCUUGGCGUCCAGACUCACCCCCCUACUCCCGCGCUUGAUCCACCCUGAUCAGGUGGGCUUUAUGCCAGGCCGCCAACUGUAUGAAAACACGCGACGAGGGGUCAGCACAAUCUGGCACAUGGGGGAAUCCAAGGCGACUUCUCUGGCACUCUCACUGGAUGCGGAGAAGGCGUUUGACAGGGUGCUGUGGCCUUACUUAUUCGAGCUACUCCGAUUCCAGGGGUUCCCAGAGACCUUUACAACAGCCAUACAAGCAUUAUACACCGAUCUGAGGGCACAAAUACUCAUCACAGGGGCACAAAAAACACCCUUCACCCUGGGAAACGGCACCAGACAGGGUUGCCCAUUAUCCCCUCUGCUCUUCGCCUUAACCUUAGAACCGCUACUACAAGCCAUCCAGCAGCACCCGCACAUCAAGGGCGUCAAGAUAGGGGGCACACCUUUCACGGUCUCGGCAUAUGCCGAUGAUGUCAUGCUGACACUCCGGGAGCCGAGGCACUCUCUCCACUAUCUAUCGCUUGUACUGGAGCGAUUUGGAAAUAUAGCAGGGUACAAAAUUAACUACUCCAAAUCCGUGGCAAUGCCCUUCCACCUGGAGCCGCCGGAACUAACCCACAUACGCGACACUUAUCACCUUACGAUAACCACCGACGAACUCAUGUAUCUAGGGGUACGACUAACAGCGAACACAUCCUCCUUAUUUGCAAGGAAAAAACAAAUGUGUGAAUUACAGGCGCUUAUUAUUUGGUGGUAAUUUUAGACAGUAGCAGCUAGAACACUUUGUGGAUGCUCCAAAAAUCACCCACUGUUUGAAAAGCAGAACAAGACACACAGAGAAGAUAGAAAUUAAGAAAAAAUCGUCUCCACUCCGUGCAGUUUAAGUGCAGCGCUAAUUUAAAAUAAAGUCAACUCACCCUGUUGAUAUUGAUCGGGUGGUUCAACUUAGUUGGACAUAUAUGAAAAAACACAAGUAGAGAAUAUAUAGUGCAGGGUUGUUUUAAACCACAAACUGGAGUUAUCUACUUAAUGGCACACUCACAUGGUAACGAGCCUUUUUUAGAAACAGGCUCUAAACUUUCCGGCUGGUAUGUUAUAGGGUAACAUACACCCCCUUUUUCUGGAUCUCUUCCCCGGUCACAAUUCCAAUAUGUAUGAUGGAGAAAGGAAAGAAAAGGAUCUCUAAGUGAGAUCUGCAGGUUUAAAAACACAAUUCUAGAUAAUAUAAAAUUGCUCACCUGACUCAGAGCCUUCCAAACUGGCUCUGAGUUUCAAAAGUUUGUGUCAAAUAAAGGGUGACAACCCCCUCUUGAACCUGGGCAACACCAAAGACUGGAUCCACUUGUUAAACGGAAAUGCACAAAAAAGUGCUAUUUAAUAUAAUUAAAAUUAAAAUUGAAUGCAAUUCAAAUGCAAAUAAAAAUACAUGAAAUACAAAUAAAAGAAAAAUAUAUAAAAAGUCAGUUUGGAUCCUUCCGAAACACGUUUCACCUAUCCUGUAGGCUUUUUCAAUCGGCAUGGUGUUGCUUCCUGGUUCCAGUAUUUACAUCAUCAGUAUGAGACUUCCUCUUCAACUCUGAUCCUAUCAGAAUGCGUCCUUGUGUCUGACUCCUCCCCUUCACAGCUUAACUCAAUGAUAUUACUGCAUUGAAUCAUCUACAGAUGGGCAGGACUACAUCUCCAAAAAUGCAUUGCGGCCGCACUGUUUGGUCACUUCCGGUACGGCAGAAAUGACAAUCCCAUCAUACUUAACAAUACUAUAGCGAAUUUCGCUCAAAGUCAAAGGAGGGAGGAGAGAAAGAUAAUAUAACAUCAAUGAAUAAAAAGUUAUUAAAUCAGGCUAAUGUAAAAUAAUGAAGAGAUGUGACUCCAAACUUCACCAAUAUAUAUAUAUAUAUGAUACCUCACUAUAUAUAAUAAUAAAAAAAUAAAAAAAAUAAAAAAAUUAAAUUUUUUUUAUUAAAUAUGAAUCUGACACAGAAAUAAUAAGCCUUUUGACUAAGUGUAGGUUUUAACAGGGAUCUAAUAGGUCACUUCUAACCUGAAUUUGAUCUGGCAGAGGCACAGUGGGUCACAAGAAAUGGUACAACUCAAAGUCCACAUUGAGACCAUGCGGGACCAGAGUACCCAAAUCAAAGAUCCACCGCAUCUCCGCCUGACCCAAUUUCUUUAUUAUGUCAUCACCCCUCAAGAUCNNNNNNNNNNNNNNNNNNNNNNNNNNNNNNNNNNNNNNNNNNNNNNNNNNNNNNNNNNNNNNNNNNNNNNNNNNNNNNNNNNNNNNNNNNNNNNNNNNNNGGGUCAGCACAAUCUGGCACAUGGGGGAAUCCAAGGCGACUUCUCUGGCACUCUCACUGGAUGCGGAGAAGGCGUUUGACAGGGUGCUGUGGCCUUACUUAUUCGAGCUACUCCGAUUCCAGGGGUUCCCAGAGACCUUUACAACAGCCAUACAAGCAUUAUACACCGAUCUGAGGGCACAAAUACUCAUCACAGGGGCACAAAAAACACCCUUCACCCUGGGAAACGGCACCAGACAGGGUUGCCCAUUAUCCCCUCUGCUCUUCGCCUUAACCUUAGAACCGCUACUACAAGCCAUCCAGCAGCACCCGCACAUCAAGGGCGUCAAGAUAGGGGGCACACCUUUCACGGUCUCGGCAUAUGCCGAUGAUGUCAUGCUGACACUCCGGGAGCCGAGGCACUCUCUCCACUAUCUAUCGCUUGUACUGGAGCGAUUUGGAAAUAUAGCAGGGUACAAAAUUAACUACUCCAAAUCCGUGGCAAUGCCCUUCCACCUGGAGCCGCCGGAACUAACCCACAUACGCGACACUUAUCACCUUACGAUAACCACCGACGAACUCAUGUAUCUAGGGGUACGACUAACAGCGAACACAUCCUCCUUAUUUGCAAGGAAAAAACAAAUGUGUGAAUUACAGGCGCUUAUUAUUUGGUGGUAAUUUUAGACAGUAGCAGCUAGAACACUUUGUGGAUGCUCCAAAAAUCACCCACUGUUUGAAAAGCAGAACAAGACACACAGAGAAGAUAGAAAUUAAGAAAAAUCGUCUCCACUCCGUGCAGUUUAAGUGCAGCGCUAAUUUAAAAUAAAGUCAACUCACCCUGUUGAUAUUGAUCGGGUGGUUCAACUUAGUUGGACAUAUAUGAAAAAACACAAGUAGAGAAUAUAUAGUGCAGGGUUGUUUUAAACCACAAACUGGAGUUAUCUACUUAAUGGCACACUCACAUGGUAACGAGCCUUUUUAGAAACAGGCUCUAAACUUUCCGGCUGGUAUGUUAUAGGGUAACAUACACCCCCUUUUUCUGGAUCUCUUCCCCGGUCACAAUUCCAAUAUGUAUGAUGAGAAAGGAAAGAAAAGGAUCUCUAAGUGAGAUCUGCAGGUUUAAAAACACAAUUCUAGAUAAUAUAAAAUUGCUCACCUGACUCAGAGCCUUCCAAACUGGCUCUGAGUUUCAAAAGUUUGUGUCAAAUAAAGGGUGACAACCCCCUCUUGAACCUGGGCAACACCAAAGACUGGAUCCACUUGUUAAACGGAAAUGCACAAAAAAGUGCUAUUUAAUAUAAUUAAAAUUAAAAUUGAAUGCAAUUCAAAUGCAAAUAAAAAUACAUGAAAUACAAAUAAAAGAAAAAUAUAUAAAAAGUCAGUUUGGAUCCUUCCGAAACACGUUUCACCUAUCCUGUAGGCUUUUUCAAUCGGCAUGGUGUUGCUUCCUGGUUCCAGUAUUUACAUCAUCAGUAUGAGACUUCCUCUUCAACUCUGAUCCUAUCAGAAUGCGUCCUUGUGUCUGACUCCUCCCCUUCACAGCUUAACUCAAUGAUAUUACUGCAUUGAAUCAUCUGCAGAUGGGCAGGACUACAUCUCCAAAAAUGCAUUGCGGCCGCACUGUUUGGUCACUUCCGGUACGGCAGAAAUGACAAUCCCAUCAUACUUAACAAUACUAUAGCGAAUUUCGCUCAAAGUCAAAGGAGGGAGGAGAGAAAGAUAAUAUAACAUCAAUGAAUAAAAAGUUAUUAAAUCAGGCUAAUGUAAAAUAAUGAAGAGAUGUGACUCCAAACUUCACCAAUAUAUAUGUAUGAUACCUCACUAUAUAUAAAAAAAAAAAAAAAAAAACUGGGACUCUUGGAUGUUGGAUGUUUAAAUAACUAUAUUCUUGAUCAUUAAGGAUCCCUUUGUCUCUACCAGCCCCAAAGAAACUCCUGAAUUUUGACAUCCAACAUCCAAGAGUCCCAGUGCUCUACCACCUCCCAAAGAUCCACAAACAUCCUGUUGCCCCACCAGGACGUCCGAUAGUCUCUGGAAUCAAUUCAAUUUCCAGUAGACUAUCGGAGUAUAUAGACCACUGCCUCCAACCCCUUGUCCAACAAACCCCAAGUCACCUCAAGGACACCAUAACCAUACUUCAGACUCUACGAGAUGUGACCUGGAAGGAGAGCUACAUAUUAGUUACGGCUGAUGUGAGCUCUCUUUACACGGUUAUUCCUCAUAAUAGAGGAGAGGAGGCAGUAAGAUUCCACUUAGAACAGUCUGAAUUGUACCAUCAAGAUCAAAUAGAUUUUAUUAUUCAAGGCAUACACCUUAUAUUAUGUAACAACUUUUUCUGGUUUUCCAACGACUUUUAUUUACAAAUAGUCGGUACGGCGAUGGGAACGAGGUUUGCACCCAGUUAUGCGAAUCUUUUUAUGGCUCUAUGGGAGCAUGUCUUAAUUUUGGAUAACGCGGACUGGAGUGCAAACCUCGUUUCCUAUCGUCGUUACAUAGACGAUAUUUUCUUUAUUUGGGACGGUCCAGAGGAGACUCUUCAACUGUUUCUGGGAUAUUUAAAUUUUAAUAAUUGGGGAAUCAAUUUGGUAGCAGAGUACAGUAGACAGAGUGUGAAUUUUUUGGAUUUGACAAUUUACAUCGAAGAAGGCAUUAUAAAAACAAAAACCCACUUCAAGUUGGUAGAUGUAAAUAAUUAUAGAUUUACAAAGCUGCCAUUUCUCACCGUGGCUUUUAAACAUCCCAAAGUCACAGUUCCUUCGGAUACGAAGAAACUGUACUGAUGUAACAACAUAUAAUGUUCAAGCAAAUAAAUUGAAAAGCCGCUUCUUAGAAAAGGGAUACAAUAAUAUCUUGCAAAGUACAAUAGAAGAAAUAAAAUCUCAGGAAAGACAAAAACUUUUGGAGUAUAAGAGCAAAAAUGCCAAUACAAAUCAAAAUAUUCCCUUCCUAUGUAACUUUAACUCGAAGAGCAAACAAGUUAGACGAAUUAUUACAAAAUUUUGGCCAAUAUUGAGGGCUGAUCCCAUAUUGUAUAAUUUAUUACCAGAACAGCCAAAAGUCAUUUAUAGGGGAGCCCCAAAUCUGGCAUCAAAACUAGUUAAAAACCAUAUAAAAAAUGACAAUAAGCCAAAAACCUUUUUACACAAAGACGGCUUCUUUGGAUGUGGGCUAUGUAUAUCGUGCAGACGGACAGGGAGUAGCAAGAGAAGCGUGACCACCUUUUUACAUCCUCAGGGGAACAAGAAAUAUAAGAUAAAAAAUAUGAUUACGUGUUAUACUAAGCAAGUCAUAUAUGUACUUCAGUGUACAUGUAAUUUAUACUAUGUAGGAAGAACAAAACGUCCAUUAUAUAUAAGGAUAAACGAACACGUUCGCAAUAUCAAGAAAGGAUUUAUGCAACAUAGUGUUUCGUCUCAUUUUAAGAAACAUCACGGUUGCGAUCCACAAUUCUUGACUUUUUUUGCUAUUCAAAAAGUCCACCCCAAUUGGAGGGGUGAUGACAUAAUAAAGAAAUUGGGUCAGGCGGAGAUGCGGUGGAUCUUUGAUUUGGGUACUCUGGUCCCGCAUGGUCUCAAUGUGGACUUUGAGUUGUACCAUUUCUUGUGACCCACUGUGCCUCUGCCAGAUCAAAUUCAGGUUAGAAGUGACCUAUUAGAUCCCUGUUAAAACCUACACUUAGUCAAAAGGCUUAUUAUAUCUGUGUCAGAUCCAUAUUUAAUAAUUUUUUUUUUAUUUUUUUUUAUAUAUAGUGAGGUAUCAUACAUAUAUAUUGGUGAAGUUUGGAGUCACAUCUCUUCAUUAUUUUACAUUAGCCUGAUUUAAUAACUUUUUAUUCAUUGAUGUUAUAUUAUCUUUCUCUCCUCCCUCCUUUGACUUUGAGCGAAAUUCGCUAUAGUAUUGUUAAGUAUGAUGGGAUUGUCAUUUCUGCCGUACCGGAAGUGACCAAACAGUGCGGCCGCAAUGCAUUUUUGGAGAUGUAGUCCUGCCCAUCUGUAGAUGAUUCAAUGCAGUAAUAUCAUUGAGUUAAGCUGUGAAGGGGAGGAGUCAGACACAAGGACGCAUUCUGAUAGGAUCAGAGUUGAAGAGGAAGUCUCAUACUGAUGAUGUAAAUACUGGAACCAGGAAGCAACACCAUGCCGAUUGAAAAAGCCUACAGGAUAGGUGAAACGUGUUUCGGAAGGAUCCAAACUGACUUUUUAUAUAUUUUUCUUUUAUUUGUAUUUCAUGUAUUUUUAUUUGCAUUUGAAUUGCAUUCAAUUUUAAUUUUAAUUAUAUUAAAUAGCACUUUUUUGUGCAUUUCCGUUUAACAAGUGGAUCCAGUCUUUGGUGUUGCCCAGGUUCAAGAGGGGGUUGUCACCCUUUAUUUGACACAAACUUUUGAAACUCAGAGCCAGUUUGGAAGGCUCUGAGUCAGGUGAGCAAUUUUAUAUUAUCUAGAAUUGUGUUUUUAAACCUGCAGAUCUCACUUAGAGAUCCUUUUCUUUCCUUUCUCCAUCAUACAUAUUGGAAUUGUGACCGGGGAAGAGAUCCAGAAAAAGGGGGUGUAUGUUACCCUAUAACAUACCAGCCGGAAAGUUUAGAGCCUGUUUCUAAAAAGGCUCGUUACCAUGUGAGUGUGCCAUUAAGUAGAUAACUCCAGUUUGUGGUUUAAAACAACCCUGCACUAUAUAUUCUCUACUUGUGUUUUUUCAUAUAUGUCCAACUAAGUUGAACCACCCGAUCAAUAUCAACAGGGUGAGUUGACUUUAUUUUAAAUUAGCGCUGCACUUAAACUGCACGGAGUGGAGACGAUUUUUCUUAAUUUCUAUCUUCUCUGUGUGUCUUGUUCUGCUCCACAUCCUCCUUAUUUGCACGCAACUAUACACCCCUGUUCCGAACCCUCCUCGCGGAACUAGAGCAGUGGACGGACAGGCCCAUUUCCUGGAUGGGGAGAGUAAACUCUAUAAAAAUGAAUGUGCUGCCGAGGAUACUGUUCCUCUUUCAAGCACUCCCGAUCAGAGUAACCCGGAGGGACCUGACAGGCAUACAAAGAGCGAUUGAUGCCUUCAUCUGGCACAACAAACGCCCAAGAAUAGCGCGCACCCUCAUGUCCAGACCAAAACCCAGGGGGGGGCUGGGACUACCCAAUGUAUACACCUAUUAUCUAGCUGCACAGCUGAUGCAGGUGAUACAGUGGCACACGCCUCCAGACAGGAGACGAUGGGUAGAUCUGGAGUCACUGAUGACGGGUCAGGAUCUCCCACAAUUUUUCAUAUGGGCACCCAGAACGCAAAGAGCCAUAUUAAGAACAGCGAAUCCAGCCAUACUCAACUCCAUACAAAUAUGGGACCAAACCAAAACGAAGUACGCCCUCAGCUCCCAUUUUCCCCCCAUGACACCAGUUUUUAGAAAUAGGGCCUUCCCCCCCGGAAUGCAGGCGAGAGACUAUAAGGGCAUAGAGGCCACGGGGCUCCAAAGAUACGUACACCUAUAUGUGAACCAAAACGUAGUCACAUACGAACACCUAACCACCAAAGCCACCUUACGAACAAGAGAUUACUUUAGGUACAUACAGAUCCGAGACUUCGCUCAAAACCCUGAAAUACGGAAGGCGGCCCUGACACCACUAACCUUCUUUGAAAAACUAUGUUACAAUGAGACAACACAAACUAAACUCAUCACACUACUGUACAACCACCUCAGCGGGACUCCGGACAGGGAGGGCGCACUACGAUACAACAACCAGUGGGAAGCCGACCUGGGGGAGGUACUAGAGGGAACGGAGUGGCAAGAUAUCUGGGAAGCAUGCAGCAAAACCACAAUAUGUGUGACACUCCAAGAGCAAUCUUAUAAAACACUAUUUCGAUGGUACAUGACCCCAGUGAAGCAGAAACACAUGGGACUGAGUCCCACAGACGGUUGCUGGCAUGGGUGUGGGGGACGAGGCAUGUAUAUACAUAUGUGGUGGGGAUGCCCGAGGGUCACGGAAUACUGGCGCAAAGUUGUGGAGCUCAGCUCCCAAAUCCUACAAAAGCGACUGGGGUUAGACCCAUGGGCGUGCCUACUCUCAAGACCCACAAAGGACCUCCCCAGACACGAACAAAGACUCCUUAACAUGAUCUAUUUAGCGGCCCGAAGGUCCCUAGCACAACAGUGGUCAUGUCCAGACCUCCCACAUAUGUCCCUGGUUAAGACAAAAAUGCGAGACAAUUACAUAAUGGAUAAAUUAACCUCCUAGGUGUGAAACACUGUGCCUAAGUUCCAAAAAGUCUGGGAACUAUGGGAGCAGUACGAUACUUAGAAUAACGACUCGGGGUGCAGGGCAGCAUCCACGCAAUCCUAACAUAGCGGGAUUGGGACUCACCCAACACCAAAUACCACACCAACACUCGGACAGGUGGCAGCAGCACCACUACCGGACGGGUGCAGGGUCAAACCCGGAGCAUAAAACGCAGCUUAGAGGGAUAGAUAACCCCCAUUGUUCGUUCAUCCGGAAACCAUAUCAAACUGAUACUUACACACAUGUACUUGUCUCCAACUCUUUUCUUUUCUACCUAUCUAUUGAAGGCAAGCACCCUAGACCUGAAAGUCGGCAGGAGAGGAAAGACAAAUAAAAACCUGCCAACAUUCCGCAGAACACAGAAGGGAGCGGGUGUGCGGCCGCACGCCCCAAGAGGCGGGGGACUGACACUCUACUCCCUAAGCCUAACCCUUCACACCAAAGCUAUUGUAUAUAGUUAAUAUAGCUUGCCACCAAAACAAAAAUCUCAGACGAAGACACCAGCAGAAAACACCAUGUAUAUAACAUGCCUAAACUAACAACUGUCAUCUGCAUUUUGUAAACCAUUGUAUGACACUGCGCUGUCACAUACAUAAAUGUAACCGCUAACAUGUUUACCAUCUGCUUCGUCAAACCAAAAUAAAGAAUUUUUUUAAAAAACUGUGCAGUAUCUUCUAAUGCCUAACUACUAUAACACUAUGUCUGCAUAACUGCUUACUCCGGCUGUUGUGGCAUUGUAAGCCUGAUGUGUUAUCACCUUGCACAAAUAAAAUAAAGAAUUAUAAAAAAAAAAAAGAAGGUUGAGUGAUUAAAAGUUCAGUUCUGCUCCUGAUGCUGUGUGUCGUCCAGUCAUUGGGAUUGAGGUUGGGAUAUUGUUGGAUUGUUUUGCCUGCUGAAAGCCUUGCCUUAUGGAUUUAUAAUACUUGUUCCUGAACCUCACUGGGAUCUUAAGUGGAGAUAACCUGUGGAAUAUCAGCUCUCCGGUACAGGACGCCCAUGCAUCCUGAUUGAAAUCUUCACACUCAUACUGGGAAAUGAGGUCCCGCACUGCAGCACUGAAAAUAUCAUCGAGUUUGUUUCAGCCAUGCCAGGCCCCCAGGACUGAUGGUACCCAACAUGGUCCCGGAGUGCAAUGGUCUCUGACUGGGAGGAGAGGUGGUAAACACGGCGGAUGAGAUGGUGCUGCCCUAAGGUGCCUGGACUUUGCAGGUAGUUUCAAAGAGGCUCAGGAUUUUGGAAUCUGGGUCAUUAGACCGGAGAGUGGCAAUGUGCUACAGAGAUGGUGGGGCCAGGGAAGCGGGGGGACGUACUGGGACAAAAUUGUUAAAUAGCUGAUUUGGAAAAAUUCUCCAUUAUAGUCUCAGGUGUUUUUUGCUUUUUGGAUUCUUUAUUUAUAUGACAGAUAACGUCAGCACACAUUUAGCACAACAGUACAUGUGACAAAUGAUCAGUACAAUUAGCUUAAUCACAAUGAGAGUGAUAAGAUAAGAAAACAAUCUUUGAUAAAGACCUUCCAGUAAGGCCAGUUAGUUCACAAUCCCAAGAUCCCACACACUUUGUGACUAUUCAGUGCUGACAUGCUAAAUAUCAGGGAAAUGAAAAUUAAUGAGUCUUAAAACUAGCAUCAAUGAUGUAUUAUUUGUUCAUUUAAGAAAUGCAGCCUAAAAUACAAAAAUUGACAGCAGUAGACUUGUAUUAUUAUUAUUUUUGCAGCUAUUUUGACCAAACAUCUGAAAUACCUCUGUUAGUUCCCCACAACUGCAACUUUAGAGAAGAACCAAAAAGCCAUCUUAACGCAUGGGCACACUGGGCAGUUGCCUGGGGGCACCAUCAGCAUACGGACCCUGUAGGCUUUCCAACUUUUCAGUAUAUUAUUCCAGAAGAGAUAUUCACAACCUUCAUACCCUCUUUAUUAAAACAUUUAGAACUAAUCAUCACAGUUUCAGCUGUUAUCUGUACAUGUGAUCUUGCUUUUGUGAAUACAUAUCUUGACCUUGACGAAAACGAUCUUUUGGCCAAUUAUGAAGCAAUUCUCUGCAAACAUAUUUCGCAAAUGUUUUUGUUAAACACUUGAUUAAUAAUAAAUAAUUCAAAGUAAUUUCGUACUGUGCCAUCUCCUAUGAUUUAUCAACUGAGGACCAUUUUUAGGUGGAAUUUCUUGAUUUUUAACUUCAAGGCUUAUGUUAUAUGGUCCAAACAUUUUUGUGGGCUAGUCUCUGUUGUACAGCAUGUUUUAUAAUGUUUAAUUACUGAUUUUUUUUCAGAGGUACCCAUAAAUAUAGACCAUAUUUUAUCAAUAAUUUAAAUUUGUAUUCCUGUUUAGGGCUGUGUAGGCCGGACCCAGUGCACUGCUUUGCCUGAGGGACGAUCAUGCUGGUAAAACGGGCCUGAAGAACACAGAACAUGUUUUAGGUUCUAUUAAGUAAACAAACUGUGACAGGAAAAGCUUUGUUUCUUAGUGUGUUGACAGUAAAUAGGUUAGCUGUAGAAAUAGCUUGGCAUUUUCGUGAUUUUAAUGACCUUGAGAAAACACUAUACUUGGUAUAUAACCAGUUGGUAUUUAACGUACAAUAGGCAGAUGAGAUGGUGUAUGCGAUUUUUGCAUAGUGCACAGAUCCUCUCCCUCUAGCCUUUUGGCUGUAAUAGUUUUGCUUUGAGGUUUUUUGGUUUUUUUUUUUAGAUAUUUUUUAGAUAUAAAAAAAUAUUUUUUUUUUAACUCGGUGUUGUACCACCCAGACAUGAUGAUGUGUUUCUUUAUUAUACGAGUAUGAUGACAAGCUGUAUCAUUUAGCCAAAUCAAAAAUAAAGAAUUAAAAAGAAUUGAACAAAUUUAAAAAAAUAUUCAAUUAAAAACAUACACAAAAACAAAUCAAAUUACACAUUCAAAACUUAAGUUUUCAAUAAACUUGCAUUCAAGGAGACUGUCAAGAAUUCACAAUGUGAAUGAUUAUAGCAAAUGACAAAAAAUAUUUGUAUUUAAGUCUGAUAAGUAAGACACAUAGAUCAAAUCAAAACAUCAUUACAAAUAUAAUAGAUAAAAUCAUUGGGAUUAAUGGGAAAGGAUGGGGGGGAGGGUAUGUAUUGCAAUUAUUUUGCUUCUGCAAAUAACUAGUGUGAAUAUUAUUUGUAUUAUUUCUGUCAUAAUUGUUCAAGAUGUUUAUGAUUAUGUUGUGCUCUGCCAAGACCACAAUUAUUUGGAUAAUUAUAUUUUCAUUAAAGG